rnacentral:rRNA from 1 species
CUCCUACGGGAGGCAGCAGUGGGGAAUAUUGCACAAUGGGGGAAACCCUGAUGCAGCGACGCCGCGUGAGCGAAGAAGUAUUUCGGUAUGUAAAGCUCUAUCAGCAGGGAAGAAGAAAUGACGGUACCUGACUAAGAAGCACCGGCUAAAUACGUGCCAGCAGCCGCGGUAAUACGUAUGGUGCAAGCGUUAUCCGGAUUUACUGGGUGUAAAGGGAGCGCAGGCGGAAGGCUAAGUCUGAUGUGAAAGCCCGGGGCUCAACCCCGGUACUGCAUUGGAAACUGGUCAUCUAGAGUGUCGGAGGGGUAAGUGGAAUUCCUAGUGUAGCGGUGAAAUGCGUAGAUAUUAGGAGGAACACCAGUGGCGAAGGCGGCUUACUGGACGAUAAA